AUCCUGCAGAGUAAUUCAUAAGUGUAAUGAUUAGGUUUUCACAUGCAUGCGUAAGAUGUGCCUUUCCCCAGCUUUGUUACAAUGUCAGCACGUUACCCUCAUCUGACA
ensembl:snoRNA